AGAGUUUGAUCCUGGCUCAGGAUGAACGCUGGCGGCGUGCCUAAUACAUGCAAGUCGAACGAACCACUUCGGUGGUGAGCGGCUAACGGGUGAGUAAUGCGUAAGUGAUCUGUCCAUCAUACGGGGACAACUAUUGGAAGCGAUCGCUAAUACCGGAUAAGAGGAAAGUCCAAAUGUGCUUCUGGCAUCGCUGAUGGAUGACCCUGUCGCACAUGACCUAAUUGGUUCGGUAAAUGCCUAACGUAGCGACUAUGCUUAGCCAACCUGACAGGGUGAACGGACACGCUGAGACUGAAACUCGGGCCAGACUCCUACGGCAGGCACCUAUAGGGAAUCUUCGGCAAUGGGCGAGAGCCUGACCGAACAACCCCAUGUGAAUGAUGAAGGCCUGCGAGUAGUGACAUCCUGUUAUAAGGGAAUAACGACUUGAGUAAGAAAUGGAUAUAGUGUGACGGUAACUUAUCAGAUAGCCACGGGUAACUACGUGCCAUCAUACGCGGGAAUACGUAGGUGGCGAGCGUAAUCCGGAAUUAUUGGGCGUAAAGAGCGCACACGUGGUUGAUUAAAUCUGAUGUGACAGCCCACGGCUUAGCCGUGGAGGGUCAUUGGAUACUGGUCUACUUGAGUGCACAAGAUGGAAGUGGAAUCCCAUGUGUAGCGUGAAAUGCGUAGAGAUAUGAGGAACACCAGUGGCGAAGGCGCUUUCCUGGUCUGUAACUGACACUGAGACGCGAAAGCGUGGGGAGCAAACAGGAAUAGAUACCCUGGUAGUCCACGCCGUAAACGAUGAUCGAUAAGUAGUGGGGGCCGUACCUCAGUGCUGAAGUCAACGCAUUAAGCACUCCGCCUGGGGAGUACGGUCGCCAGACUGAAAAUCCAAGGAAUUGACGGGGACCCGCACCAACGGUGGAGCAAGUGGUUUAAUUUGAAGCCACGCGAAGGACCUUAACAGGUUUUGACAUACCCUAGACCGUUUUAGAGAUAGGAGGUUCCCUUCGGGGACAAUGAAUACAGGUGGUGCAUGGUGUUCGUCAGUUCGUGUCGUGAGAUGUUGGGUUAAGUCCCGCAAGGAGCGCAACCCCUCUCGUUAGUUGCCAGCAUUCAGUUGGGGACUCUAAGGAGACUGCCAGUGACAAACUGGAGGAAGGCGGGGAUGACGUCAAAUCAUCAUGCCCCUUACGAUCUGGGCUACACACGUGCUACAAUGGUGGGUACAGAGAGAAGCGAAGCGGUGAGGUGGAGCGGACCUCACAAAGCCUAUCUCAGUUCGGAUUGUAGUCUGCGACUCGCCUACAUGAAGUUGGAAUCGCUAGUAAUCGCGAAUCAGAAUGUCGCGGUGAAUACGUUCCNCGGGUCCUUGUACACACCGCCCCGUNC
rnacentral:rRNA from 1 species